rnacentral:misc_RNA from 1 species
UAUCACCUCUCAAGCCUGGCUUGCUGUUGGACUAUGGGUCUGGCUUUAGCCACGACCGGUCCCAAAGAUAAUGACGGCGUCUGCGAGGACCCCAGUACACUGAGCUUUUAUAGCACGUACCAGGUGGGAAUUCAGACCCGGUCUUACUUAUUUUUCUAAAGGUUGACCUCGGAUCAGGUAGGAAUACCCGCUGAACUUAA